UAAAUACAGCCCAAUUAAAUACAGUACAAUAAAUUCAGCCCAAUUAAAUAAAUACAGCCCAAUAAAUUUAAUUCAGCCCAUCCACACUUUUCAACCCUAAAAUACAAGUUAAAUACUCAUCUCCUCUAAAAUUAGGGUUCAGCGCCGCUUCUUCUCUCUCAUUUCUUCUCACAUCCGUGCUCUCCCUUGUCUUCUCUCUCCCUCUGCCGACUUUCUUCCACCUGCCGGCGAGAAGCUCAAACGUUCUCUCUAUCGUCUUCUCUCUCCCUCUGCCGGAGAAAAACUUGCAACCGUAUCACGGCAAAGCCGCGGUUCGAAAACCCUUAGAUCCCUAAACUACCAACUCCGGCCUCACAUCUAGACGACGCUCCACGCGGUGUCGCCUAUCUCCUCGACGACGAUAAAUGAGCCGUUGCCUCCCUCUGCUCAGCCCUUAACCAGCCGCCGCCGUCCGAGUUUCAAACUACGGCGUCGCCCAGCCCUAGCUUCCAGAUCUCGGCCUCCUCCCUCGACUGCAUCUUUAAUUCUUGCGAUCUCCAUGUAUAUUUUUUCUUGCUGAAUGGAUUAUUUUUUUUUCAUUUAGCCACAAAUUUUGAAACAACAACUUGUUUAAUACAAUCUCAGUGGUAAUACUUCAGAUCUCAGUGGUAAUACUUCCACUGAAAGAUUCAGUCUUAAUCUUCUGCGGUCUUGAUCUGCUGCAAAAAUUCAGAUAUAUUAGCUACAUUUUUAGACUUUGUGUGUAAAGUAGAAAAAAGUGUAUAAAUUUGUAUCUUAGUUGUAAUUGAAACUAAUAAUAAACAGCAAAAAAACUAAACAGAAUAAAAAGAAAAA